rnacentral:rRNA from 1 species
AGGAUGAACGCUGGCGGCGUGCUUAACACAUGCAAGUCGAGCGGAAAGGCCCUUCGGGGUACUCGAGCGGCGAACGGGUGAGUAACACGUGAGUAAUCUGCCCCUAGCUCUGGGAUAGCUCCGGGAAACCGGGAUUAAUACCAGAUACGACCACUUUAGACAUCUUCUGUGGUGGAAAGAACUUCGGCUAGGGAUGAACUCGCGGCCUAUCAGCUUGUUGGUGAGGUAACGGCUCACCAAGGCGACGACGGGUAGCCGGCCUGAGAGGGCGACCGGCCACACUGGGACUGAGACACGGCCCAGACUCCUACGGGAGGCAGCAGUGGGGAAUAUUGCGCAAUGGGCGAAAGCCUGACGCAGCGACGCCGCGUGGGGGAUGAAGGCCUUCGGGUUGUAAACCCCUUUCAGCAGGGACGAAGCGAAAGUGACGGUACCUGCAGAAGAAGCGCCGGCUAACUACGCGCCAGCAGCCGC